AGAGUUUGAUCCUGGCUCAGGAUGAACUCUAGCGGCAGGCUUAACACAUGCAAGUCGAGGGGCAGCAUGUUCGAACUUUCGGGUUUGGAUGAUGGCGACCGGCGCAAGGGUGCGUAACGCGUGAGCAACUUGCCCUUAUCAGGGGGAUAACCGGUGGAAACGCCGACUAAUACCCCAUGGCAUCGCCUGGAGGCAUCUCCGGGUGAUUAAAGAACUUCGGAUAAGGAUAGGCUCGCGUGACAUUAGCUAGAUGGCGGGGUAACGGCCCACCAUGGCGACGAUGUCUAGGGGUUCUGAGAGGAAGGUCCCCCACACUGGAACUGAGACACGGUCCAGACUCCUACGGGAGGCAGCAGUGAGGAAUAUUGGUCAAUGGUCGGAAGACUGAACCAGCCAUGCCGCGUGAAGGUCACGGCCCUAUGGGUCUUAAACUUCUUUUGCGAGGGAGCAAUAAGGUCCACGCGUGGACUGAUGAGAGUACCUCGCGAAUAGGCAUCGGCUAACUCCGUGCCAGCAGCCGCGGUAAUACGGGGGAUGCGAGCGUUAUCCGGAUUUAUUGGGUUUAAAGGGUGCGUAGGCGGCCUGUUAAGUCAGCGGUGAAAUUCAGGGGCUCAACCUCUGCCGUGCCGUUGAUACUGGCGGGCUUGAAUGCGGAUGCCGUGGGAGGAAUGUGUGGUGUAGCGGUGAAAUGCAUAGAUAUCACACAGAACACCGAUUGCGAAGGCAUCUCACGAAUCCGCUAUUGACGCUGAUGCACGAAAGCGUGGGGAUCAAACAGGAUUAGAUACCCUGGUAGUCCACACCGUAAACGAUGAAUGUUAGGUGUGGGGGCGCAAGCCUCCGUCCCGCAGUUAACACAAUAAGCAUUCCCCCUGGGGGAGUACGGCCGCAAGGUUGAAACUCAAAGGAAUUGACGGGAGCCCGCACAAGCAGUGGAGUAUGUGGUUUAAUUCGACGCAACGCGAAGAACCUUACCAGGACUUGACAUCCCAAGAAGUCGACGUAAUGGUUGAUGUGCCCUUCGGGGAACUUGGUGACAGGUGGUGCAUGGUUGUCGUCAGCUCGUGUCGUGAGAUGUUGGGUUAAGUCCCGCAACGAGCGCAACCCCUACGGUUAGUUGCUACGCAAGAGCACUCUAGCCGGACUGCCGUUGACAAAACGGAGGAAGGCGGGGACGACGUCAAAUCAUCAUGCCCCUUACGUUCUGGGCUACACACGUACUACAAUGGCGAAUACAAAGGGAAGCAAUACCGCGAGGUGGAGCAAAUCCCAUAAAAAUCGCCUCAGUUCGGACUGCAGGCUGCAACUCGCCUGCACGAAGUUGGAAUUGCUAGUAAUCGCGGAUCAGCAUGCCGCGGUGAAUACGUUCCCGGGCUUUGCACUAACCGCCCGUCAAG
rnacentral:rRNA from 1 species